GCCUGGGUGGCUCAGCUGGUUAAGCGCCUGACUCCUACUCAUGAGUCAUGGGUUCAAGCCCCAUGCCGGGCU